CCUGUGACAUACCACUUGUUGCCUCGGCGGAUCAGCCCGCUCCCGGUAAAACGGGACGGCCCGCCAGAGGACCCCUAAACUCUGUUUCUAUAUGUAACUUCUGAGUAAAACCAUAAAUAAAUCAAAACUUUCAACAACGGAUCUCUUGGUUCUGGCAUCGAUGAAGAACGCAGCAAAAUGCGAUAAGUAAUGUGAAUUGCAGAAUUCAGUGAAUCAUCGAAUCUUUGAACGCACAUUGCGCCCGCCAGUAUUCUGGCGGGCAUGCCUGUUCGAGCGUCAUUUCAACCCUCAAGCCCUCGGGUUUGGUGUUGGGGAUCGGCGAGCCCUUGCGGCAAGCCGGCCCCGAAAUCUAGUGGCGGUCUCGCUGCAGCCUCCAUUGCGUAGUAGUAAAACCCUCGCAACUGGAACGCGGCGCGGCCAAGCCGUUAAACCCCCAACUUCUGAAUGUUGACCUCGGAUCAGGUAGGAAUACCCGCUGAACUUAAGCAUAUCAAUAAGGCG
rnacentral:rRNA from 1 species